GGCGCGGACCCCUGGUUGCCCCGGGGUCGAGAGCAGCCGGGGAGAGCUGAGUUCAGAGCCCAGAGUUGGACAUCAGGCCACACGCUGAGAGGGGCCCCAUGCUGCUUAGUGGCCGAUUUGCAGGGAAUCUGGGCACAAUCUUAAUAACACCAGGGCCAAAAAUAACAACGUUCCUGGGAACCGAGCUGGAGCGCACCCCAUGGACGCUGGGCCAUCUCCCCGGGGACUAGUGCCUGACAGAGCUGACAGAGUUCUAGGCCACAUGUGGGCUAGAAGGAACCGCCAUGUCUACCACAGCACAGUCCUUAAGCAGGAGCCUUUUGAAGCACUUGGACUCAAAACAAUGGCUGUUUGUUGUUGU
rnacentral:lncRNA from 1 species